rnacentral:rRNA from 1 species
GACGAACGCUGGCGGCGUGCCUAACACAUGCAAGUCGAACGGGACUGGGGGCAACUCCAGUUCAGUGGCGGACGGGUGCGUAACACGUGAGGAACAUGACUUUCGGUGGGGGAUAGCCGGCCCAACGGCCGGGUAAUACCGCGUACGACCUUUCGGGGACAUCCCCGGCUGGUGAAAGCAGCAAUGCGCCGAAAGAGUGCCUCGCGGCCUAUCAGCUAGUUGGUGGGGUAACGGCCCACCAAGGCGACGACGGGUAGCUGGUCUGAGAGGAUGGCCAGCCACAUUGGGACUGAGGCACGGCCCAGACUCCUACGGGAGGCAGCAGUGGGGAAUAUUGCGCAAUGGGCGAAGGCCUGACGCAGCGACGCCGCGUGUGGGAUGACGGCCUUCGGGUUGUAAACCACUGUCGGGAGGGACGAAUGCCCCGCAAGGGGAGUGACGGUACCUCCAAAGGAAGCACCGGCUAACUCCGUGCCAGCAGCCGCCGUAACAC